rnacentral:rRNA from 1 species
AACGAACGCUGGCGGCAGGCCUAACACAUGCAAGUCGAGCGAAGCCUUCGGGCUUAGCGGCGGACGGGUGAGUAACGCGUGGGAACGUGCCCUUUGGUACGGAAUAGCCCCGGGAAACUGGGAGUAAUACCGUAUGUGGUCGAGAGACGAAAGAUUUAUCGCCAAAGGAUCGGCCCGCGUUGGAUUAGGUAGUUGGUGGGGUAAUGGCCUACCAAGCCGACGAUCCAUAGCUGGGUUGAGAGGAUGAGCAGCCACACUGGGACUGAGACACGGCCCAGGCGCCUACGGGAGGCGACAGUGGGGAAUCUUAGACAAUGGGGGAAACCCAGAUCUAGCCAUGCCGCGUGAUCGAUGAAGGCCUUAGGGUUGUAAAGAUCUUUCAGUGGGGAAGAUAAUGACUGUACCCACAGAAGAAGCCCCGGCUAACUCCGUGCCAGCCGCCGCAGUAAUAC